ACAUCUUUAGCUUAAUAGGUAAAGCGGCAGUCUUCGAAAUUGUUAAAUAUUGGUUCAAUUCCAUUAAGAUGCA
rfam:Grifola frondosa strain 9006-11 000069F, whole genome shotgun sequence.